rnacentral:rRNA from 1 species
UACGUAGGGUGCAAGCGUUAAUCGGAAUUACUGGGCGUAAAGCGUGCGCAGGCGGUUGUGCCAGUCUGAUGUGAAAUCCCCGGGCUUAACCUGGGAACUGCAUUGGAGACUGCACGGCUAGAGUGCGUCAGAGGGGGGUGGAAUUCCGCGUGUAGCAGUGAAAUGCGUAGAGAUGCGGAGGAACACCGAUGGCGAAGGCAGCCCCCUGGGAUGACACUGACGCUCAUGCAUGAAAGCGUGGGGAGCAAACAGG